rnacentral:rRNA from 1 species
AGUGAGCGCUGGCGGUAGGCCUAACACAUGCAAGUCGAACGGCAGCACAGUAAGAGCUUGCUCUUACGGGUGGCGAGUGGCGGACGGGUGAGGAAUACAUCGGAACCUACUUUUUCGUGGGGGAUAACGUAGGGAAACUUACGCUAAUACCGCAUACGACCUACGGGUGAAAGCAGGGGCUCUUCGGACCUUGCGCGAUUGAAUGAGCGGAUGUCGGAUUAGCUAGUUGGCGGGGUAAAGACCCACCAAGGCGACGAUCCGUAGCUGGUCGUCGAGGAUGCUCAGCCACACUGGAACUGAGACACGGUCCAGACUCCUACGGGAGGCCGCAGUGGGGAAUAUUGGACAAUGGGCGCAAGCCUGAUCCAGCCAUACCGCGUGGGUGAAGAAGGCCUUCGGGUUGUAAAGCCCUUUUGUUGGGAAAGAAAAGCAGCAGGUUAAUACCCCGCUGUUCUGACGGUACCCAAAGAAUAAGCACCGGCUAACUUCGUG